UAGGGAUAUUGCUAGGAAGAC
rnacentral:piRNA from 1 species